GAUCUAAGUUUAACUUAAAGCUAAAUCAUAUCAAACAACUAUGUAAUAAUUUCUGUGUAUUUUCUUUUCAGGUCAUAAGUAAUGACAUGGAUGAGGAACGUGACCUUCAUAUUACUGCUGUAUACAAAUUCUUCUUCUUCACUCUGUUGGAAUCCUUAUAUUUUGUACAUUUAAUAUCUAUCUUCGGCUUGAAAAUAUGAAUAUAGUGUCAUUUUAUUAGCAGUUUAUGAUACACUGUGGAUCAGAUGUCAAGGCCGUGUGGUAAAGAACAUUUUUCUUUCAUUUUAGCAAACGGAAAACGUGUGAAGUCAUUUUUGAUUGUCACCAUCAGGAGAAAAACCUAAAACCUCCGAAUUAAUUAAUUAACUAAUUGUUAGAAAUAAAAAAAUAAUGCAAUCAUCUGGCACUACUUUAUGUGUAGGUGUGAUUCGGAUGAAUUGUCGAUGAGUCGUAUGUAAAAUACGUAAUGUAAAAAAUGAAGCGUUAUUUUGAUCCAUUUAGUCAGUUUUGUUCUGCAAACAUUAAUAAAACAAAAACAAAAAAACAAAAAUUUUGGGAAGAGACCAUGAUAUCAGGUGCAGUAUUUAUCGAUCAUCACAGACUCGAGAGAUCAUCCAGAGAGCCUGCAGUGUGGAGUCCAUCCUGGACAAACUCCUGAGUCUGGGAACCAUCACUGGUGAGGAAUACCAGGAGAUUAAAAAUAAACACCACAUCUUCUACCUACAAAAACUUUCAUUCACUUCCUGCUAACUGCAUGUUUACUGCGGCUGUUCAGAUCCAAACUCCCCUAAUGUACACUCGAGAGGUUUUACUUCUUUUAAUUCACUCAA